UCCUCGUUGGUGUAGCGGCGAGCAUCCCCGCCCGUCACGCGGGAGACCCGGGUUCGAUUCCCCGACGGGGAG
rnacentral:tRNA from 2 species